GCCCGGGUGGUCUAGUGGUAUGAUUCUCGCUUAGGGUACACCCUUAGCAUAUCUGCGAGAGGUCCCGCGUUCGAUCCGCGGCUCGGGCC